UUCCCUGGUGUUAGGUAGGGCUGGAGAAGAUAGCAACAGAAGACACCAGAUUAAUUUACAUGACCACUGGAGUCCUGCUUCAGAAAAUAGUCAGUGCCAAGAGUCUGAUGGAAUUCACGCAUAUCUUCAUUGACGAAGUGCAUGAGCGAACUGAAGAAAUGGAUUUCUUGUUGUUGGUAGUCCGCAAACUUUUAAGAACAAAUUCACGUUUUGUGAAGGUAGUCUUGAUGUCAGCCACCAUCAACUGUAAAGAAUUUGCAGACUAUUUUGCUGUCCCUGUUCAGAACAAGAUGAAUCCUGCAUAUGUUUUUGAAGUGGAAGGCAUGCCCCAUUCGAUUGAAGAGUACUAUCUUAAUGACUUGGAG
rnacentral:lncRNA from 1 species